UACGGAGGAUUCAAGCGUUAUCCGGAUUUAUUGGGUUUAAAGGGUGCGUAGGCGGUUUGAUAAGUUAGAGGUGAAAUACCGGUGCUCAACACCGGAACUGCCUCUAAUACUGUUGAACUAGAGAGUAGUUGCGGCAGGCGGAAUGCGCGGUGUAGCGGUGAAAUGCAUAGAUAUCGCGCAGAACCCCGAUUGCGAAGGCAGCCUGCCGGCCCCACACUGACGCUGAGGCACGAAAGCGUGGGUAUCGAACAGG
rnacentral:rRNA from 1 species